rnacentral:rRNA from 1 species
GACGGAGGGUGCAAGCGUUGCUCGGAAUCACUGGGCGUAAAGGGUGCGUAGGCGGCCUUUCAAGUCUAAUGUGAAAGCCAGAGGCUUAACCUCGGAAGGGCAUUAGAAACUGGAAGGCUUGAGUACCGGAAGGGAGAGUGGAAUUACCGGUGUAGCGGUGAAAUGCGUAGAUAUCGGGAGAAACACCAGUGGCGACAGCGACUCUCUGGACGGUUACUGACGCUGAGGCACGAAAGCGUGGGGAGCAAACAGG